GCCGCCAUGGUGAAAUUGGUAGACACGCUGCUCUUAGGAAGCAGUGCUCAAGCAUCUCGGUUCGAAUCCGAGUGGCGGC
rnacentral:tRNA from 2 species